AGAGUUUGAUUAUGGCUCAGAAUGAACGCUGGCGGCGUGCCUAACACAUGCAAGUCGGAUGUGCCGCAAGGUGCAUGGCAGACGGGUGAGUAACGCGUGGGGAACCUACCUCUUUGUGGGGAAUAACGCUCCGAAAGGAGUGGUAAUACCGCAUGAGACCUUCAGCUGGGAUGCUGGAGGUGAAACCUGGGGACCAGCAAUGGCCUGGGGCAAGGAGAGGGUCCUGCGUCUGAUUAGCUAGUUGGCGGGGUAAUGGCCCACCAAGGCAUCGAUCAGUAGCCGGCCUGAGAGGGUGAUCGGCCACACUGGAACUGAGACACGGUCCAGACUCCUACGGGAGGCAGCAGUGGGGAAUUUUGCGCAAUGGGCGAAAGCCUGACGCAGCAACGCCGCGUGGGUGAUGAAGGUCUUCGGAUUGUAAAACCCUGUCGUCAGGGACGAAGGUGCACAUGUUAACAGCGUGUGUGCUUGACGGUACCUGGAGAGGAAGCCCCGGCUAACUCUGUGCCAGCAGCCGCGGUAAU
rnacentral:rRNA from 1 species